rnacentral:rRNA from 1 species
CCAGACUCCUACGGGAGGCAGCAGUGGGGAAUAUUGCACAAUGGGGGGAACCCUGAUGCAGCGACGCCGCGUGGGUGAAGGAGUAUUUCGGUAUGUAAAGCCCUAUCAGCAGGGAAGAACAAUGACGGUACCUGACUAAGAAGCACCGGCUAAAUACGUGCCAGCAGCCGCGGUAAUACGUAUGGUGCAAGCGUUAUCCGGAUUUACUGGGUGUAAAGGGGGCGCAGACGGCGAUGCAAGCCAGGAGUGAAAGCCCGGGGCCCAACCCCGGGACUGCUCUUGGAACUGCGUGGCUGGAGUGCAGGAGAGGUAAGUGGAAUUCCUAGUGUAGCGGUGAAAUGCGUAGAUAUUAGGAGGAACACCAGUGGCGAAGGCGGCUUACUGGACUGUAACUGACGUUGAGGCUCGAAAGCGUGGGGAGCAAACAGGAUUAGAUACCCCGGUA